rnacentral:lncRNA from 1 species
GAAUUUGAUGGGUCUAAAAAAAUUUAGCCUUUCACUAGGAAAAAAAAUCGAUGUGACUACAAUUCGAGCCCACUCAAAAUAGUAGUAUAUGUGAACUUGCUUUAUUCUAAAAUAUCUAGCAGGUUAUUUUUCCUUUUUGCACGAGAAUCAAAUAAUUAACUUGUAAUGGAAAAAUUUAUGUUCUACUCAUGUUUUGAUAUUUUUGGUAAACUUUCGAUGGAAUUUUAAGCACAGAAUUCUGAAAUACUCGCCCCCCCCUCCAUAUUAAUUGUCGAAAUAACAACAUGUACAAAUCAUUAGUGAUUUGGCAAAAAAAAAAAAUUAGCUAACAAAGGAUUAGCCCUAGGUUUCCAUGCUUGAUCUAGUUUAGCCACACUCUUUGGACAAUCCUGGAUCCGCCACCGCGUAUCUAGAUGCUUUUUAGGCAUAAAUACAUACAUAUUUGGAAAAAUUUGAGACAAUUAAUAUGGAUGCAAUGAGUAGUUUUCAAAAUUUCUAAUAUUUUGCUCAUUUCAAUGUGUACUUAAAUUUUUGUUCCAAACAGAAUUUUGAACCUUUGUUCUAGUGGGAAACACAUUUUCGUGUUCUCUCUCUCUCCUCUCUCUCUCUCUCUCGUCAAAAUACAUGCAGUUUUCCGGUGGUGUCAUGUAAGCACUUUUUCUCGGCAAUUCUUGUGGUUCAUUAAUUCUUACUCUAACAAGCCAUGACAUUCAGAUUCCACCGUUUUAUUUAAUGUUCACACAUAUUUUGGAUUUUUCGUGUGUAUCUUCCGUAAAAAUUUAGAUUGUAUUUGACGUUACAACGGAUCGUGAUAAUCUUGUUUCCGUAGCCAAAUUUCUUUUCGAUUUUGCUAUACCAAAGUUGCAUAAUUUUUAGUUAUAAGGAUAAGUCGAUUCCUCACUCGGGUUUGUGUGUUAAGAUUCAAAACGAUCGAUGAUGGGUAGAGUUUGGAUGAUGUCAAAGUCCAAAUCAUACGGCUCUGAUAAGUCGAUUGAGAUUUAAGAUUUUUACUUGACUGAGAAAUAGACACUCCCAUUUCUUUUUCCUCAUUUCUCUCUCUCUCUCUCCCUCUCUUUCUCUCUCUUUUUGUCUAUGCUUAUUUCUCUUGUUCUGUCUAAGCAAGCUUCUCCUAAUGUUGUCCCUGCUGUUUCAACAAAGGCUGAAACGCAUAACAGUUCAGAAACAAAUAAAAAAAAUAAACAGAGCACCAGUACGUAGUCCAGUGAGAAAAGAUAGGCCUAUUGUAAUUUUAGAUGUAUGUAGGAAGAUCUUCAAGAAUGAACUAAAUCUUGUUUUGCACACACAAGAGAGAAAGGCCUAUUGCAAUUUUAAGAACUGGAUCGAUUCUUUCGGGUAGACAUAGAUUGAACCUUUUUCUCCAGUUCUCUUUUUUUACACCUUUUGCUGUACAUAGAUUUCAUUUUAAUAUAACGUCAGUACUUCAAAAAGAAAAACAACUUCUUAUACGCAUCACGGUUCAGCCAAAAAAAAAACUGAGCAUCAGUAGUCCAGCGAAAAAAAUUAGGCAGCGUAACAUAUUGGUGGCACGGUGAACUUGUUCUGAAUAUUUGCACUAACAAUGACUCCACCAGUGCAUGCCGCUAAUUAGUUAUAGCUAGCACCGAUCUGUAUAAUUAAGUACGGAGUAUCAUUUAUACUUUUCAUAAGAUUGAGUUUUGUUAAUCACAUCGAACAAACUCGUCCCUCUCAAUUCUCAAGCUCGUUAGCUAGCUAGCAUUAGCAUCAGCCCGGCAGCAUGACAUCACAUAUUUCACAUGACCGCCGAACUGGCACUAGUGCUGAUCUGCCGCCUGCACCCCUCCGCCGCGUAGCUCUUCCGGCACGUGUCCCGGCACACCGCCAUCAUCUUGCUGCCCGGCUGGAGCUGGCCGCACAUGGAGAGCACGCAC